rnacentral:rRNA from 1 species
GACGAACGCUGGCGGCGUGCUUAACACAUGCAAGUCGAACGGAAAGGCCUCUUUCGGGGGGUACUCGAGUGGCGAACGGGUGAGAAACACGUGAGUAACCUGCCCUUGACUUUGGGAUAACUUCAGGAAACUGGGGCUAAUACCGGAUAGGAGCUCCUGCUGCAUGGUGGGGGUUGGAAAGUUUCGGCGGUUGGGGAUGGACUCGCGGCUUAUCAGCUUGUUGGUGGGGUAGUGGCUUACCAAGGCUUUGACGGGUAGCCGGCCUGAGAGGGUGACCGGCCACAUUGGGACUGAGAUACGGCCCAGACUCCUACGGGAGGCAGCAGUGGGGAAUAUUGCACAAUGGGUGGAAGCCUGAUGCAGCAACGCCGUGUGCGGGAUGACGGCCUUCGGGUUGUAAACCGCUUUCGCUCAUGACGAAGCUUUGUGUGACGGUAGUGGGUAAAGAAGCACCGGCUAACUACGUG